rnacentral:rRNA from 1 species
GAUGAACGCUGGCGGCGUGCCUAAUACAUGCAAGUCGAGCGAAUGGAUUAAGAGCUUGCUCUUAUGAAGUUAGCGGCGGACGGGUGAGUAACACGUGGGUAACCUGCCCAUAAGACUGGGAUAACUCCGGGAAACCGGGGCUAAUACCGGCUGUGGUGCCGGCUCAUCAGAGCCGUCUCGAAAGGAAGAUUCGGCCUCCGCGACAGGAGGGGCCCGCGGUCAAUUAGCUUGUCGGUGGAGUAAUGGCCUACCAAGGCAACGAUGGGUAGCUGGUCUGAGAGGACGAUCAGCCACACUGGGACUGAGACACGGCCCAGACUCCUACGGGAGGCUGCAGUGGGGAAUCUUGCGCAAUGAGCGACAGCUUGACGCAGCAACGCCGCGUGGGGGAAGAAGGCUUUCGGGUCGUAAACCCCUUUCAGUUAGGACGAAGCUUUAUUGGUUAAUAACCAAUUGGAGUGACGGUACUUUCAGAAGAAGCCCCGGCUAACUACGUGCCAGCAGCCGCGGUAA